rnacentral:rRNA from 1 species
GACAGAGGGUGCAAACGUUGUUCGGAAUUACUGGGCGUAAAGCGCGUGUAGGCUGCUCGGAAAGUCGGAUGUGAAAGCCCUGGGCUCAACCUAGGAAGUGCAUUCGAAACUUCCGAUGCUGGAGUGCUGGAGAGGAAGGCGGAAUUCUCGGUGUAGAGGUGAAAUUCGUAGAUAUCGAGAGGAACACCUAUAGCGAAGGCAGCUUGCUGGGACGUUACUGAGCUAAGGCGCGAAAAGCGUGGGGGAGCGAAACAGG